rnacentral:lncRNA from 1 species
GAUAUUUAGGGGACACCCACGCCGCGACACAUUUAGGGGACACACGCCGUGACUUUUAGGGGACACCAAGAUAUUUAGGGGACGCCCCCUGCGAUGUUUAGGGGACACCAAGAUAUUUAGGGGACGCCCCCCGCGAUGUUUAGGGGACACCAAGAUAUUUAGGGGACACCCAUGCCGCGACGUUUUGGGGACACCCACCCUGCGACAUUUUGGGGAUGCACACCGCGAUGCGUUUAGGGGACACCAAGACAUUUAGGGGACCCACGCCGCGAUGUUUAGGGGACACCCACACCGCGAUGCGUUUAGGGGACACCAAGAUAUUUAGGGGACACCCCCCGCGACGUUUAGGGGACACCCACCACGACACAGAGGGGACACCACGACAUUUAGGGGACACGCGACGUGACAUUUAGGGGACACACACCACGAUGUUUAGGGGACACCACGACACUUAGGGGACACCCACCACGACACGGAGGGGGCACCACGACGUUUAGGGGACACGCGACGUGACAUUUAGGGGACACCAAGAUAUUUAGGGGACACCCACGCCGCGACACGUUUAGGGGACACCCACGCCGCGACACGUUUAGGGGAUACCAAAAUAUUUAGGGGACACCCCCCAUGACAUUUAGGGGACACACACCACGACGUUUAGGGGACACACACCACGACGUUUAGGGGACACCAAGAUAUUUAGGGGACACCAUGACAUUUAGGGGACACCCACGCCGCGACACAUUUAGGGGACACGCGCCGUGACUUUUAGGGGACAGCAAGAUAUUUAGGGGACACCCAUGCUGCGACACGUUUAGGGGACACCCAUGCCGUGACGUUUAGGGGACACCAAGAUAUUUAGGGGACACACACCACGACGUUUGGGGGACACCAAGAUAUUUAGGGGACACAUGCCGCGACAUUUAGGGGACACCACGACACAGAGGGGACACACACCACGACAUUUAGGGGACACCAAGAUAUUUAGGGGACACGCACCGCGACGUUUAGGGGACACCAAGAUAUUUAGGGGGGACACGCGCCGCGACGUUUAGGGGACACCACGCCGCGUUUCGGGGCCACAUUUAGGGACGAGCCAGGGCCGCGCUGACCCCAAAAACCCCCUGCAGGGUAUCACGGAGGCGGAGAGGGAGGCGUUCGAGCUGCUGCCCGAUGACGAGAGGCAGUGCGACAAGUGCAAGACGACGUGCUUCCUCUCCGCCCUGGCCUGCUACGACUGCCCCCAGUGCCUCGUCUGCCUCUACCACAUGGACGACCUCUGCAAGUGCCCCCGCAGCAAGCAGUACCUCAGGUGGGGGCUCCCCAAAAAUUUGGCGGGGGGGUUGGGGGUGAUUUGGGUCUUGGAGUUCCCAAAACAGGGAUGUGGGAAGUGU